UACGUAGGGGGCAAGCGUUGUUCGGAAUUACUGGGCGUAAAGCGCACGUAGGCGGCUCUUUAAGUCGGAGGUGAAAUCCCGGAGCUCAACUCCAGAACUGCCUUCGAUACUGAAGAGCUCGAGUCCGGGAGAGGUGAGUGGAACUGCGAGUGUAGAGGUGAAAUUCGUAGAUAUUCGCAAGAACACCAGUGGCGAAGGCGGCUCACUGGCCCGGUACUGACGCUGAGGUGCGAAAGCGUGGGGAGCAAACAGG
rnacentral:rRNA from 1 species